UCGGGGACCGAAACUCCACGUCCCGUCAUGCUCCGGUCCAAUCGCGCCGCUGUCCUGGUCGUGACCGCGUUGCAUGCUGGGAGGCGUAGUCUCUGCCGGGCGGACGCACAGUCGUCAGGAGAUGGGACCAGAUGAGGAGCCUUUCACUGCAUGAAGACUAACAAAAGGAGAAACUGCACACAUUUCAGAGGAAUUGAGGGGGGCCCUGGGCCACUCGAGAUUCCCUGAGAAAACAGCUGAGGAAGACCACUAUAUAACCCUACUCAAAAGCUUCUUCCAACCCAGUCUCUGGCUGCAGCCUUUUCUGGUCUUCAACUAAAGGAGUCUGUUUCAGAGUUGUAUCACGAAAGCAUUCACCUUCAAAUGGCUUCUUGGAAAUGGAUGAAAAAUGGACUAUCUGCUCUCCCCCAAAUUUCCCUGAUCCCUUCAGGAGUCAGUUGGGGGCCCCUCUGUGUUGGUGCCUGUCUGUGGGCGUGGCAGCUGACGGGGGCAGGAGGGAGGCUGCUCUGUGUCUUUCCCCUUGUUUCAUGUGCUACUGUUCCUGAGGCCUGGCUUGAGAAAAGCAGGACAUUCGGUUUAGACAGAUGGAGGGCAGGGUCAUUUUCAAAAUGAAAUGAGUGCACAAAUCACACUGUGAAAUUGGCAUGACCAUCACUGCUGCUGUGAACACUGACUUUUAUUUAGUCUCUGAUAGGCAGUUGGGGAAUAGAUUAGCGUUUUUGGGGGGGAGGGUGAAAGAA